rnacentral:rRNA from 1 species
UACAGAGGUCCCGAGCGUUGUUCGGAUUCAUUGGGCGUAAAGGGUGCGUAGGUGGCGCCGUAAGUGGGGUGUGAAAUCCCGGGGCUUAACCCCGGGACUGCAUUCCAUACUGCGGUGCUUGAGGACUGGAGAGGAGACUGGAAUUUACGGUGUAGCAGUGAAAUGCGUAGAGAUCGUAAGGAAGACCAGUGGCGAAGGCGGGUCACUGGUCCGGUACUGACGCUGAGGAGCGAAAGUGUGGGGAGCGAACAGG